rnacentral:rRNA from 1 species
AUCGAUGAAGAACGCAGCGAAAUGCGAUACGUAAUGUGAAUUGCAGAAUUCAGUGAAUCAUCGAAUCUUUGAACGCACCUUGCGCCCCUUGGCAUUCCGAGGGGCACACCCGUUUGAGUGUCGUGAAAUUCUCAAAACCCUUUCUUUUGGUCAUUUUUGACCAUUGAAAGGAUUUUGGACUUGGAGGCCUUUUUGCUGGUUUCACCUUGAAGCGAGCUCCUCCCAAAUGUAUUAGUGGGGUCUGCAUUGUCGGUCCUUGGCGUGAUAAGUUGUUUCUACGUCUUGGAUUUUUGGCGCUGUACACCUGCUUCUAACCGUCUCAUUGACAACGAUGGUGUUUCGGUCGCCGCCGAUUUUUCGGUGGGAGGCUUGACCCACGAAACAAACCUUGACCUCAAAUCGGGUGAGACUACCCGCUGAACUUAAGCAUAUCAAUAAGCGGAGGAAAAGAAACUAACAAGGAUUCCCCUAGUAACUGCGAGUGAAGCGGGAAAAGCUCAAAUUUAAAAUCUGGUGGCCUCUGGUCAUCCGAGUUGUAAUUUAGAGAAGCGUCUUCCGCGCUGGACCGUGCACAAGUCUCCUGGAAUGGAGCGUCAUAGAGGGUGAGAAUCCCGUCUUUGGCACGGAUCCCGGGGCUUUUGUGAUGCGCUCUCGAAGAGUCGAGUUGUUUGGGAAUGCAGCUCAAAAUGGGUGGUGAACUCCAUCUAAAGCUAAAUAUUGGCGAGAGACCGAUAGCGAACAAGUACCGUGAGGGAAAGAUGAAAAGCACUUUGGAAAGAGAGUGAAACAGUACGUGAAAUUGUUGAAAGGGAAACGCUUGAAGUCAGUCGCGUCGUCCGAGACUCAGCCUCGCCUCGGCUUGGUGUACUUCUCGACCGACGGGUCAGCAUCAAUUUCGCCCCUUGGAUAAUGGCGUGGGAAAUGUGGCACCUUUGCGGGUGCGUUAUAGUCCCUCGUCGCAUGCAAGGGUCGGGAUUGAGGAACUCAGCACGCGCCUUUCGGCGUCGGGGUUUUUGCCCACGAUACGUGCUUAGGAUGUUGGCGUAAUGGCUUUAAACGACCCGUCUUGAAACACGG